rnacentral:rRNA from 1 species
AGAGUUUGAUCAUGGCUCAGAACGUACGCUGGCGGCACGCCUAACACAUGCAAGUCGAACGAAGUAGCAAUACUUAGUGGCAGACGGGUGAGUAACAUGUAGGUAUCUACCCUUUGGCCUGGAAUAACACGAGGAAACUUGUGCUAAUACCGGAUAAGUCUUUACGGAGAAAGCUUUAUGCACCAAUGGAUGAGCCUGCACUUGAUUAGUUUGUUGGUAGGGUAAUGGCCUACCAAGACUGUGAUCAAUAGCUGAUUUGAGAGGAUGAUCAGCCACAUUGGGACUGAGACACGGCCCAAACUCCUACGGGAGGCAGCAGUGGGGAAUCUUGCACAAUGGAGGAAACUCUGAUGCAGCGAUGCCGCGUGAGUGAAGAAGGCCCUUGGGUUGUAAAGCUCUUUCGUCGGGGAAGAAAAUGACUGUACCCGAAUAAGAAGGUCCGGCUAACUUCGUGCCAGCAGCCGCGGUAAUACGAAGGGACCUAGCGUAGUUCGGAAUUACUGGGCUUAAAGAGUUCGUAGGUGGUUGAAAAAGUUGGUGGUGAAAUCCCAGAGCUUAACUCUGGAACUGCCAUCAAAACUUUUCAGCUAGAGUUUGAUAGAGGGAAGCAGAAUUUCUAGUGUAGAGGUGAAAUUCGUAGAUAUUAGAAAGAAUACCAAUUGCGAAGGCAGCUUUCUGGAUCAAUACUGACACUGAGGAACGAAAGCAUGGGUAGCGAAGAGGAUUAGAUACCCUCGUAGUCCAUGCCGUAAACGAUGUGUGUUAGACGUUGGAAAUUUAUUUUCAGUGUCGCAGUGAAAGCGAUAAACACACCGCCUGGGGAGUACGACCGCAAGGUUAAAACUCAAAUGAAUUGACGGGGACCCGCACAAGUAGUGGAGCAUGUGGUUUAA